UUAAGAUUUAUUGAUUCCAUAAUAUGCCAAGAAAUAAUAAGAAUAAAACUCAAACUAAGAGUUUAUUCAAAAAAAUAAUCAAUAACAAACAAAAAUUUGCUUGUAACAACUAUAAAAGACACUCAUUAUUACUAACUACAACUUAUCAUAAUUUGACUAGAAAAAUUAUUUUAAUGAGACUCAUACUUAAAUUAAAAAUACAACUCAAUUAGAAAUACCUAAAUAAUAAAACUUUAAAUAGACAACUAAAUUAAACUAUAAUAUAAAUUAAUUAAAUAAUUUCUAAAUAUAAUAUAUUUCAAUCUAAUUCCCGCUAGGAUGGAAAAAUUCAGUCUCAAAUUUUGCUCCUUAUAGUCUUCAAUACAUCUUUCUUGUAUUCAUUUAUUUUUUUUUCUCUCUAAUUUAUUCAUUCGUUUAUUUAUUUUUUUGUAAAACUAAAAUACAAAAUAAACUGCAAGACUGUUGAAGGUCCGAUAUGGUUGCGGUUGCGGCGAGGAGCACAAUGGUGGCAACGUUUUGGUCCAAUUCGCAGUGAUAUGACCAGAAAAUCAAAUCCAAGUGGUCGCAAGCGUUGGCCUCGAUUCCGACAAUAGGCGUGUCGAUCGGUUGUAAAAAAUUUGUCGAAAAAGAUUGUACUGGUGAAGGGAAGUUGACUGUUGGCGGUGGUGUUGGACAACACGCGGUGGAAAUCGACAAAUGGAAGUGGCGGCGCUUGCGGCUUUUGUUGCUGCUUUCCAGCGGUUUUGUAGCUGAACGGUGGCGUUUUUGCUAGGGGUUUGGUGGUCGGCUUUCUCUGACUUCGUUAGUGGUUUUGAUCGACGGCAAACUUACGGGGUGUUUGUGAAUAGAGGUCGCUAUGGAGUUUAGGUUUUCUAAUUCGAGAAUUUCUGAUAUAUAGUUAUUGAAUACUGGUCGCUAUGGAGGUUUAAUUUAUUUAAUCACAAUUUCAUCUAGGUUUUCGGUUCUACGAAAAAAUGUUUUGUUGUGAAAUUGAUGCAGUGAAAGAAUAAAGUGAUGUAAGGUCAUGGAUAAAUAGGAGAUAUUCUCAAAAUUAACAUGUAUUGAAAAUACAUGUUAAUUUUGAGAAUAUCAAUAAAUCCAAGAUGUUAAAAUUUGUUAAUUCCACGUUAUAUUAAAAGUUAAUUAAAUUAGAAUUCAAUCGAAG
rnacentral:lncRNA from 1 species